GCUGCUGUGGCCGAGUGGUCUAAGGCGCGAGACUCAAGUUCUCGUACUCGAUAGAGUGCGCGGGUUCGAACCCCGUCGGCAGCA
rfam:Salpingoeca sp. ATCC 50818 unplaced genomic scaffold supercont1.14, whole genome shotgun sequence.